UACGUAGGGGGCGAGCGUUGUCCGGAAUCAUUGGGCGUAAAGCGCGUGUAGGCGGCUUGGUAAGUCCGGUGUGAAACCUUGGGGCUCAACCCCAAGCCUGCACUGGAUACUGCCUCGCUUGAGUCCGGGAGGGGAGAGCGGAAUCCUAGUGUAGCGGUGAAAUGCGUAGAUAUCUGGAGGAACACCGGUGGCGAAGGCGGCAUCCUGGGACCGGCAUUGACGCUGAGGCGCGAAAAGCCCAGGGGGAGCAAAGCGGGG
rnacentral:rRNA from 1 species